UAAUGAUAGAUGUUAAUGUAUGAGUUGUUCUUUUCUAAACUAAAACCUCAGUAUUCAGGUUUAAUUGUGGCGUUAGCAUUUUUCAAUAAAUAAGUUGGUUUGGGGUUGCAGUUUAAGCACUUGUCUCUAAAAGGUUUGCCAUCACUACUAUAAAGCAUCAAGCAGAUUACCUAACCUCUUUCAGUCUCAGUUUCUCAGCUGGUAAAUGGAAAGAAAACAGUACCAGCCCCACUGAGUUGUUGUGAGACUAAAUGAAAUGUGCACAGCAUAAUAUCUGAAUUAGCCAAUGUCGGCUCUCAUUAUGGGAAAUAGUAUAUGUACUGACAUUGGAAAAUAUGGACCCGACUUCCGGUGCUCACAGUGGGUGCUUCCUCUCACUCCAGCAGAAUGGGAGACCCUUGCCACCAGGCCCACAGCUGCAACCCUGAUCUCUGGGGACCUCGGGGCUCCUGGGAGCCCAGUCCUCUCACCGGCCCAGCACCCACCAGCCAGCUCUGCCAGGAAAGGCGGAUGGGCGGCCCUGUUGGCAAAGAUCCAACCAGGGCAAGUGUUGGGGUCCAGAGGACAAAGGAAAGGGACAUUUCAAGGAAGUCCCUACUUCCUCCGAAACAGUGUUCCUAUCUGCUUCGCGCACAUGAUCUAUUGGGACAUCCUUCACGGUCCAAAUGUAAGCACGUCCCGGAAAAAAAUGCCAGCAUUGGUCUUGUGGUGAAAUGUGUUUCUUUAUAAAUGCCCUGAUGUUGCCUUCGAGCCUGAGGCAUGGGGAGAGGAAGAAGCAGACUUCAUGUUUCUGACCAAGGUGGCAGGCCUGGCUGGGCUGCAGUUUGUGGACCUCUGCUGUAGACCAGAGCCUGGGGUACAUCACCAGCGAGCUGCGGAAUAAAUGCCAGCCAUAGAAGAGACUGUGACAUCUUCAAAACAUGUGCUAUCAAAACAACAUCAUUCCCUACAAGGAAGAUGACAUUUACAAAGGAAAUGUGAGCCCAGGAUUGAUUGAAGGAAAUCAAAGAAAGCAAGAAGGUUGGGUUCAAGAGAUCACUGUUAGAAGGGUUUCUUCCACACAGCCUUCCUGACCCCAGGACAGUCUGCUUUCUUUUUUGUCACCUGGAUUUUCCUGUCCUCAGGCACCCCUUCCUUUACCCUAAAGGAUUUAGACCUCUCUAGGCGCAGGAGGCCAUGUUACCGCUGUCUGUGGCUUCCUGGCAUCCUCUGCUGCCCCCAGUGCCUAAGAUGCUGAGGGUCUGGUGGCCCAGAGCCAAGUGCACUGGAGCCACUCCAGACCUGUCUCUGGGACAGCAGCUGCGGCAUCUCGCUGACACCAAAAUACAUUCCUGAGGCGAGGGCAGACAGGCCACACCAGUGCAGGUCUUCUGCCCUCUGAGGAUCUGGCUUCAUCCUAAGGACACAUUGGUCAUGAGGACACCCCAAGUGCUAAACCCCUCACCCAGGAGAUCUCAGCCAGCUCAGCACUUUCCCCAAGGCCUGGGCUCACCCAGAGGCAUCCCCCCAAUGCCGCUUGGCUGGCCCAAGGCAGAAGUAAAUCACACAGGGAAGGAAUUUCUCAGAUACCGUAGCCACUGGCGACUUGACGGGUGCCAUGAAUCAGGAUUUCACCCCAUUUCACCUGUACUCUCCCUAAGGCAUGUGCAAGGCCUCUGGAGGCCAACAGUAGGAGAAGAUGAUGCAGGCCAAAUUCAGCCAGGGUGAGCAUCAAUGGUGCUGCCUCUUUGUCAACUUAUUACCUGAGAUUUAUGCAUGAUGCAGCCAGGUCUGCUCGGUGACACAUUCUAAUUUAAUUAAAUUUCUGUUGGAUUGAUGUCUGAUCAAUCAAUAAUGUUAAUGUUUUUGCAAUUUGGAGAUUAAAGUAUGGUCAAGCCACAGCAGUCCUCCAUCCACUUAUUUCAGAAUAUUCUUUGAGAAGAGGCUUGCCUGCCUGCCUGCCUUCUUUCUCCCUCUCUCCCUGCCUCCCUUCCAUAUGCAGGCAUUUAUUAAGUGUCCAGGAUGUGGAGCUAUGACAAGAUGGAAAAAUGACCCAGAACUGGAGUUCACAAGCCUGACGGAACAUGGGAAUCAGCUGGAGGCUGGGUUGGGUCACAGAUUACAGGGCCCAACCCCAGAGAUUCUGACUCAUUAGUUCUGGGGUGGAGCCCGGGAAUCUGCAUUUCUCUCAAGGUACCAGCAGUGCUGAUACCACUGGUGCCAAGAACCCCACUCUGAGAACCACAGGCUUAAAGACUAUGGGCAGAAGCUCUGGAACCACCAGACUUCAGAUCCCACUGAACUGGGCAAAUUGCUUGAUUUCUCCAUGCCUUGGUUCUUGUAACUCAUAGGUCCUACAGCCAACAAGUGAGACUCGUAAUGCCUGUAAGCAACCAGUACAGUGCUUGUCCUGCAGCGCACACCCACACCUGUCGCCUGUUCUUGCAGUGGAUUGCCAAGCCAUGAGACUCCUGUCCUCAUGCUCUUCUCUCCUUGAGGGUGUCAGGUAGUACACAUGUAGGGAUGGCAUCUGAUCUAAUCAAGAGGUCAGAGAAGACCUGUUGAUGAAAUGGAGCUGAAGUUUGAGGAAAGGAAGAGGCAGAAACAAAGGAGUGGUAGGUGUGGGAGGAUCCUUGUAGGCCAUUUUAAUGGGUUUGACCAGUAUUCUAGGCCCAGUGGGUAGACAAAGGAUAUUUUAAACCAGGGAGGCAACAGGACCGUGUUUAAAUGUGAA
rnacentral:lncRNA from 1 species